AUUGAACGCUGGCGGCAUGCCUUACACAUGCAAGUCGAACGGCAGCACGGGAGCAAUCCUGGUGGCGAGUGGCGAACGGGUGAGUAAUAUAUCGGAACGUGCCCAGUCGUGGGGAUAACGUAGCGAAAGCUACGCUAAUACCGCAUACGAUCUAUGGAUGAAAGCGGGGGGAUCGCAAGACCUCGCGCGAUUGGAGCGGCCGAUAUCAGAUUAGGUAGUUGGUGAGGUAAAGGCUCACCAAGCCGACGAUCUGUAGCUGGUCUGAGAGGACGACCAGCCACACUGGGACUGAGACACGGCCCAGACUCCUACGGAGGCAGCAGUGGGGAAUUUUUGGACAAUGGGGCGCGAA
rnacentral:rRNA from 1 species